UUACGACCGUAUCACAUUGAAACGCCGGUUCUCGUAUGACCACCGAAGUUAAGCAACGCCGAGCCUGGUUAGUAAAUGGAUGGCCGCUUGGGAAUAUCAGGUGCUGUAA